rnacentral:lncRNA from 1 species
GACACAAGAACCAGACUAGGUCCCAGCUCUCAUUGGUCAUGCCCUGGUAGGGGACAUACAGAGGCCAGGCGUGGUCCCCGCCCUCAGGGGCCAAAGUCGGCUGGGGGAGACACAGCGACCAGGCUGGGUUCCACUGCAGGGGUCAGGGUCUAGCAUUUUUCAACAGAAAGCUAUUCCCUCCCUCGUAGUCCUGGAAACUGCAGGACAAAAGACAGAAAACUAAUCAGAACUACAGCCCUCAGGUUCAGCGUGUGGAAAGCCAGACCCUUCCUGAAAUCGCAUAAGGCCACCAACCUGCGAGAAAAAGAAGAAAGCGGAAGGCAGUGCUCUUGCACGCAGUUCUAAACAGGAAAACGAGGGUCAAAUACAGAGACCACCAAUUAGAAUUAGAGGCCUCUGGGCCAGCUGCCCAAUGAGAAGGCAGAUCUUCUGUCGUCCGGACAACCGCACGGUAGCAGGGGGUCUCGCGCAGGCGCGCAGGGCAAUUAGUGAGUUCCCGGACCAGUCUUCAAUCCUAAUGCCCGAACCCGCAAGGAAACUAAAUACGACAGGCAGAUCACAUCUUGCACACUGUGCGUCUGCCCUCUCCCUCGGCGCCCAGAACUCCUCAGCGGUCAUCUCCACCUCUCCCGACUUAAAGUCAGAAGAACUAGUCAAAACCCAGGCUCUUCCGCCUUGCUGGCCAAUUGGCACCAAGACCCUUAGUCUCCGUGUGCCAACUGUAAAGAGCCAACCCGAAUUCCGUAACUCUAAGCCAGCAGGCGCCCCAGGCCGCGCAGUCAGUCAGAACCCAGACUUAUCCCAGACCUUCCUAUCCAAUUAGAACCCACAAGCUUCAGUCCUAAGGACCAAUAAGCACGAACUCUUCAUCUGUCUUGCUUUCCCCCUCUCUGUCCUAGUCAGAAUAACCAAUCAGAAAACCAGUCAGUUUUGCAGCCAGCUAGUAUCAGGUCCCCCCCUCCACAUCCAACUAUCCAGUCUAUCCUGGCUCCACUCAAAUCAAGCUGUACAGCCCUCCAGCUCUUCAGCCAACCCUGAACAAUAAUAAAUUAACCAUGAACCGAUCA